rnacentral:misc_RNA from 1 species
AAAAAUAUAAAACAAUAUGAGGAUUUCAAGAUAAAUAUUGUGUGCGCAACAGAUCCAAAGGAACAUAAAUGAGGAUAAAAGAUGAAAAAUAUUCAGUAGAGCAUAACAACAAUAAGAUAUGCAACCAAAUCAAACUGGUUGCUUGUGGCAAGAUACAGAACAUAUAAACAGGAAAGUAAACUCUAACAUGAGAUAUUUAUGAAUUUCAU